UCUGUGUGAUCUUGUGGAGAGUCCACACUGCAGACUGGAGACUCUGAGAUGGAAGUGGUCAGAAAGGUGGUGGUGUUGAGAGGACCAGCUGUGUCCUGAUGAUCCAGAGGUUGAAGCAGCAGCUGGUGUGUGGAGAGGCUCUGACUGGGCCAUGUUACUGGGAGGUGGAGUGGAGAGGAGAGCUGACGGAGGAAUCACAACAAGUGCAGAUGAGUCUCAGUGCUGCAGUCUGAACUGCUCUGAGAUCAGCUCCACUGUCAGACACAAAGGCAAGUCCACCAUCGUCCCUGUGUGUUCCUCUGGAUGUGGCAGAGUAUCGUCAGUGUAUCUGGACUCUCUGCUGCUGCUCUGUCCUUCUACACCGUCUCUGCAGACACACUGAGACUCCUCCACUCCUUCUGCUCCACCUCCUCCACCUGGACCUGGACCUGGACCUGAGUCUGGAUUUGUUUUUUUCUUUCUGUUUGAUUCAUUCAGAUAUUCUGAACCCAAAGUGCCUCUGCAGCUUCCUUCUGUUUAAAACAGCAUAACUUUACAUUUACAGUCAUUUAAAUUGCAAACGGGCUGUUUAAAUGACUGUGAACUAGGGUAAAGUCUGUGGUUAUUACUGUAUUUGUGUCGCACUGCAAUGAUGGAGACCUGCUGUUGAUUUUCACAUUAUGAUGUUUCUUGGAGCUUGAUGAAUGCAGAAGUCUGCAACGAAGUUUAAGUAUCUUUCUCAUCAGUGUGAGAUUAUAUUUCUGUAUACUUGUC